rnacentral:misc_RNA from 1 species
GACCAACGUUCAGCCAUAUCUUCCACAAACCAUGAUAACAUCCAUUAACGUUGGCAACGAAAUCCUCUCCAGCGGUGACAACACCUUAAUCCCCAACCUCCUCCCUGCCAUGCAAGCCCUCCAACAAGCCUUGACAACCCUCAACCUGGCCGACCAAGUAAACAUCUCCACCGCACAUUCGCUUGCCAUCCUAGCAGACUCCUACCCUCCCUCCUCAGCCACUUUCCGACAAGAUCUCGCCCAAUUCAUCCAACCCAUCCUCAACUUUCACUCACAAACCAACACCCCAUUCCUCAUAAACUCAUACCCAUUCUUCGCCUACGAAGCAAGCCCGAGCACUAUUUCACUACCAUAUGUGCUCUUCGAGCCCAAUUCAGGCGUGACAGAUCCAAACACGAACCUGACCUAUGACAAUAUGUUGUACGCACAGAUCGACUCAGUGUAUGCUGCGAUGAAAGCAAUGGGGUAUACUGACGUUGUCGUGAGGGUGUCGGAAACCGGCUGGCCAUCAAA